CCCCUCUCAGAAUCACACCUGGAGAGUUUCCAGUACUCUACCAGUUUUGGCUACAGGACGGAGGGUCAGGCAGAGGCCUACCCAUUCCAUUCCUGGCUUGGGCAGCAUCUAGAAAGUGGAAGACAAUCUGAUACAAAU